rnacentral:lncRNA from 1 species
UAGCACCUUACGAUCUGUGUCUGAUAUGUUAGCGCUAUUCUGUUAGCAGUAAUCUGCGCACAGCAAGGCGCGGAGGAAAUCGGUUAUAUGAGUCGUUCAAGAGAGCGUGCAUGGCUGUCAUCGGUCAGAUAGAAAGGCACGAAGAGAGGUGGAUGACCACUCGACAACAAACUCUACUUUUCGGUAGGAGCAGAGCUAUAUAGCAAGAAUGGUGCCAUAUAAAUUUCAUGUCGGGCCGUUUAUGUACGGCGUCAGGUACAGCGAAGAAGACCGCGAGUGCAGCGGUUAUGCAAGCUGGCGGGAAGCAGGAACUCUCCUUCCGCGAAGCCAUUGCCAUGCUCCCGGCCUACUGACGCGCCAUUGUUACGCUGGUGAGCGGGAGCGAUAGAUAUAGAACACGCAAGCAUCUUUGCGUACCAGAAGCACUAAUGCCUCAUUGCGUUCUUUUGUACUCUCUACGCAUUCUUGCUUAAUAGGGGUGGGCAAAUGUUGUAUGUUUGAAAUAUUAAUCGGAAUGUAAGCACUGACAAUUAUUAUUCCUGUUUUCUAGGAAACUAUCCGCUGUUUUCGGCUGUCGAAACUGACAAAAUAUUUCGCAACAACUGGCCAGUAAAAAGUACCUUGCAAAGCGGCGCAUUCCAAGAGCACGCAUUGAGAAGUACAUGAGGAAGAUGUGCGACUCGGGCCGAUACCAUCUAACGGACAACAAUUGCCAGAAGUGGGCCCAAGACCUUCUGCGUGAAUUAAACAUACCGCUGCCUGCUGACGAGCUGGACGCCCGCACUGUCGUCAACAGCUACAUACAGCCAGCGGCCCUUACUGGUGCCGUCGUCUUGGGCGCCGGCCUGCUAGGUGCGCUCAUAUGCGGUGGUGGUGCCCGUAGAAACAGACGGGAGUAAACGGAGUACCGCGUAACAGCAAUGAACUUUAAAGGAUGUGUAUCAGGGCAUUGACGGCUCAACAUUUUCUAACGCACGCGCUUGUGUGAAUGUUCCAGCGUAUUCUUAACAAUAAUGUCCCACAACCCGAGAGACUGCUCCACAACGACUCAGCGACUCGAACUCCGACCUUCCUGUCUGAUAGAUUGGAGUGUGAGGCACGUUGAAAUUUUUCUGUAGUGGUUUGAGAAUAUCACCUAUUCUCAACUACGUACAUAUGCGCUGUUGUGCCGUCUCUCCUCGCCUAAGUCACAUAACUUCUAUUUGAACACUGUUGCCCAACACUCCAUGUUGCCUGCCUCAUAUCAAGGCGCACAUAAAAGGUUUCUUGAGGUAUUGCGUGAGGUUGUCUGGAAUAGCUGAAGAGUAUUAAAUCGCUGUUUUAAAACACCAACGUGCACGUUAUAGUGCACUGUUAUUGCGAUACGGCGAUAUUGCACUACUCCACUUCAAGAUAAAGAGCCUCGUGGAAUUACAUGGUUUCCUUUCAGACGCAUUCAAUCGUCUGCAGAAAUUUUAAGCGCUGCUAUUGAUGACUAAAUGUGAAUGCUACAUGUAGCUGCAAUAAAAAGUUUUCGUACUUCGUGAAAUAUUUUUUCAGCCAUAGGUAUGUGCUAAAGUGGUCACAAUUGCUUGACGUGUAGUAAUCGCUUCAAAUUGGGGCAGAGAUCCAAGCUUUAUAGUGCCGUUCCCGUGGUUUGUAACUGCUCCAGGCAGAGUUGGAGAGACGGCAGAGCUGCCUAAACUGUUCAAGUGUUUAAGUGUACUUUUGGGUGAUGUCUGUAAUCACUUGUGUGCAUAUUUAAACAUGAUCUAGAGAAGCUAAUUGACAAGCAUCUCCGAAGACAAAUUAAACGCUACGGUAAUUUGAAGAUAUGUUUAAGUGAGUCAAUUUUCUGCAACGUGUUAAUGCUGUUGACGUCCUAGUCUUUGUAAUCCGCAACUGAAUUCUGCUUAUAUUUGCGCCUGAAGCAAGGAAAAAGAUUGUAAAAUUGUUUCUCCGUAACGGCGCAAAUGGACGGUACGUGCCUCGCCCUUUGCUUAUUCAUGUCCUAUCUUUACACGCUGUUUAGAAAAUGAGCAAAGACCAGUCCCGAUACUAAGUUGAACCACGGCUAUGUCAGCUGGUAAAAUAAUUUAGCUAGAACGGCAAUUGCGUCACGAGGGCCAAUGUCUCCUCUGGUGCUUGGUAGGCCAAACUCCGAGAGAAAAAGACAGACAGAACCAAGCAUGCUUCCAUGGCAACGGUUUUGUUGAUGCACGAGGGAGAAGCGCCAUCCAGCUUGUCUGCUACGCGCUCGACGAACCAACGACUUUCUCUGAAGGCGCCAGCGGAAACCAGCACCACUUGCAUUUAUUUUUUCAGAUUGUUUUGCACUUGCAGAUUCGUUUUCGACACCCUUCGGCUUCUAAUUUUCUUUUCUUACUGGCAACGCAUAUGUGUGAAAACUUGUCUUUUUCUGUUCAUGAUGCGCGAGCCAGCAUGCCAUGUAGCGCGCCUAUUUUGUUUUGGCAAAACAUAAGUAGGCAAAAAAUGUGGUUUAUUCUCUGUUUUUAUUAGUAGCCUAUGGAACAGCAAGGCAUCGAACACACAACACAAUACCGUAGGGCUGAGUGCCUCAUUGACCCGUACAAAUGGCCGCAAUCUGUAAUGCUAUCAUACAUCUUUCGGCUUCCUACAGUUACUGAUAGACAGAAACUUGCUACAGAGCCAUGUUUGUUGCACACAAGACAACUCUACCAAAGCAAUCUUCUUCGCAACAGUAAUUCGUGAAUAAUAAAAAAUUUAUAAAGAGCUGCAGAUCCACAUUUUUCGCAUACCAGUAAAAAAAAACAUUUUUGUUCCGUACAACAGGUAUACUUGCUAGUCAGAAAAAGAAGAAGCACAUGUCAUACCUUGUCCAUUUUCUGCAUAGCCCUCCUUGUGCUGAUAUGCCGAUAAAGAUUCAGCGAAUUAUA